rnacentral:rRNA from 1 species
GUGAGGAAUAUUGGACAAUGGGCGCAAGCCUGAUCCAGCCAUGCCGCGUGCAGGAAGACGCAUCUAUGGUGUGUAAACUGCUUUUGUACGGGAAGAAACACUCCCUCGUGAGGGAGCUUGACGGUACCGUAAGAAUAAGGAUCGGCUAACUCCGUGCCAGCAGCCGCGGUAAUACGGAGGAUCCAAGCGUUAUCCGGAAUCAUUGGGUUUAAAGGGUCCGUAGGCGGUUUAAUACGUCAGUGGUGAAAGCCCAUCGCUCAACGAUGGAACGGGCAUUAAUACUGUUAGACUUGAAUUACAAGGAAGUAACUAGAAUAUGUAGUGUAGCGGUGAAAUGCUUAGAUAUUACAUUGAAUACCAAUUGCGAAGGCAGGUUACUACUUGUGGAUUGACGCUGAUGGACAAAAGCGUGGGGAGCGAACAGGAUUAGAUACCCCAGUAGUCC